rnacentral:rRNA from 1 species
UACGUAGGGUGCAAGCGUUAAUCGGAAUUACUGGGCGUAAAGCGCGCGUAGGCGGCUUUGUAAGUCAGAGGUGAAAUCCCGGAGCUCAACUCCGGAACUGCCUUUGAGACUGCAUCGCUUGAAUCCGGGAGAGGUGAGUGGAAUUCCGAGUGUAGAGGUGAAAUUCGUAGAUAUUCGGAAGAACACCAGUGGCGAAGGCGGCUCACUGGCCCGGUACUGACGCUGAGGUGCGAAAGCGUGGGGAGCAAACAGG